CCCCCAUGAACCCUUUCAGCACCCAAUGCUCAUCCCCAGCCUGGCUUUGAGAUGUUGCAGAGGAAGGAGGUGAUGAGCCGAGGAACAGAGACUGUCUUCAGUGCCCUUCAGCUGAGUUAAACAUUCCUGAUGUGCAGGAGCGAGGAUCCGUGCCUGCCUUUCAUCCUUGCCCUCUCCAGGAAUUGCAAGCUACAGGCACCGGUAGGAGCAAGCAGAGAAUUACAGAGGUGUGCUGUAGAUUCUCCAUUGCUUGAAGACUUUAACCCCGGGAGUUUUUUUGCGAAGAUCUGCUACGGCUCACAGAGGAGUUACAAGCUCCGUGUAGAAAGAAAUAUUCUGGAGGAAGACUCGCAGUGGAGGUGAAAUGGCAGAUCAACACUGCGGCAGCAAGCCGAGGCUGCAGGGAAUGGCCCAGGGGGGAAAUCAAAGGGAAGAUGACUUUGUUACCAACCCAGCUGCAACUUCCUGCUCUGGCUAGAAAAUACCCUAGGAGGUGACUUGUUAGAGGACUGCAUGCCUCUGCCUUGCCUUGCUUCCCCAUAAUAAAUGAAUAAUGAACUUGUAGGGCAAACACUGAAGGGCAAGGGAAAGGUGGAAUUCCCAGAAAUUAUCAUCAAUAAGUAAGCACAAAGACACUCUCUGUCUUCCACCUCUCAGAUUCCUAUAAAUGGAGCUUUUCUAUGAGGGAGAGGGCUUUCCUCCAUCACGCACAAGCUAUAAACCAACAACUCUGACCAA